AUUGAACGCUGGCGGUAUGCUUAACAUAUGCAAGUCGAACGGCAGCACGGUAUGUAGCAAUACAUAUGGGUGGCAAGUGGCGGACGGGUGAGUAACGCGUAGGAAUCUGCCCUCAAGCGGGGGACAACCCGAGGAAACUCGGGCUAAUACCGCAUAAACUCGGAAGAGAAAAGCUGGGGUAACCUGGCACUUGGGGAGGAGCCUGCGUCUGAUUAGCUAGUUGGUAGGGUAAAGGCCUACCAAGGCGAUGAUCAGUAGCUGGGCUGUGAGGAUUACCAGCCACACUGGAACAGAGACAAGGUCCAGACUCCUACGGGAGGCAGCAGUGGGGAAUAUUGGACAAUGAGGGAAACCCUGAUCCAGCAAUACCGCGUGUGUGAAGAAGGCCUUCGGGUUGUAAAGCACUUUAGUUGGGGAGGAAGGCUAGCAGUUUAAGAGAUGGCUAAUGUGACUGUACCCAAAGAAUAAGCACCGGCUAACUCUGUGCCAGCCGCCGCGGUAA
rnacentral:rRNA from 1 species